GCAGAGCUAAAAUGUAAUUUUAUCAUGUUAAAUAAAUGUAUAUUUUAACAUGUAAAUCAGACCUGCAAAUGCAACAAAAUUAAAAAAUAAAUGACCCACAAAAAUUGUCUGUAGCUGUAUUCAGAUAACAUGUGAGUGACCACAUAUGUAAGGUCUCUGCAAAUUACAUCCCGCAGACACGGCUUCAUCCCUGGUAGUAAGAGAGCUGAGAAACCACUCUUUCCCGGAGAGAGACACAGGUGGCAAAAUAAAAGAAAAACUCUUACCAUCUCUUGGUAUGUAUUAUUAUUAGCUAGAAAGCAUACAGUUAUUCAUAAGGCUCUUAUAAAAGCAAGCAAACGAGACAAAACAAAAGGAUCUGCAGCACAAGUUCUGAAAAUGCAGCCAACACCAGAGUGGCCCAGGAGGUGAGCACGGGGCUCUGAAGCCAGAUUUGCCAGAGUUCCAAUCACAGCCCCCAGCCAUCAGGUGGGUGACACUGGGCCAGUUUCCUACCUCCUCUAAAAUCUGUUUCCUUAUCUGUAUCUGAGAAAAACAAUAGUACUUAUUUGAUAGAGCACUGUGAAGAUGAGCUGAGCUUACACACGGAAAGGGCUUAGCCCAGAGCCAGGCACAAAGUAAACUCUCCAUAAAUCUUAGCUAAUAUUGUAGUCAAGCCUGAAUAAGGACCUCAGGUUUCUUAUAACCAUAGUUAAUCCUUAAUUUCCUUUUUC
rnacentral:lncRNA from 10 species